AUUGAACGCUGGCGGCAGGCUUAACACAUGCAAGUCGAGCGAGCGGCGGAAGGGUGAGUUAUGUCUGGGAAACUGCAGGAUGGGGGGGGAUCACUACUGGAAACGGUAGCUAAUACCGCAUACUAUCAGGUGUGCCCAGAGGGGAUUCGCUAGUAGGGGGGGUAAUGGCUCACCUAGGCGACGACCCCUAGCUGGUCUGAGAGGAUGACCAGCCACACUGGAACUGAGACACGACCCAGACUCCUACGGGAGGCAUCAGUGGGGAAUAUUGCACAAUGGGCGCAAGCCUGAUGCAGCCAUGCCGCGUGUGUGAAGAAGGCCUUCGGGUUGUAAAGCACUUUCAGCCAGGAGGCGUUACUCGCAGAAGAAGCACCGGCUAACUCCGUGCCAGCAGCCGCGGUAAUUC
rnacentral:rRNA from 1 species